UACGUAGGGUGCAAGCGUUAAUCGGAAUUACUGGGCGUAAAGCGUGCGCAGGCGGUUAUGCAAGACAGAUGUGAAAUCCCCGGGCUUAACCUGGGAACCGCAUUUGUGACUGCAUAGCUGGAGUACGGCAGAGGGGGAUGGAAUUCCGCGUGUAGCUGUGAAAUGCGUAGAUAUGCGGAGGAACACCGAUGGCGAAGGCAGUCCCCUGGGCCUGUACUGACGCUCAUGCACGAAAGCGUGGGGAGCAAACAGG
rnacentral:rRNA from 1 species